GUAGCUGAGUGCUAAAGUGUGUGCUUAGUGUGCAGGAAGCCGUGGGUUCAAUUCCCACC
rfam:Heterocephalus glaber contig110994, whole genome shotgun sequence.